rnacentral:rRNA from 1 species
UACAGAGGGUGCAAGCGUUGUUCGGAAUUAUUGGGCGUAAAGGGCGCGUAGGCGGUGCGGUAAGUCUGCGGUGAAAUCUCCCGGCUCAACUGGGAGUCUGCCGUGGAAACUGCCGUGCUUGAGUGUGGGAGAGGUGAGUGGAAUUCCCGGUGUAGCGGUGAAAUGCGUAGAUAUCUGCAGGAACACCCGUGGCGAAGGCGGCUGACUGGAUCGCAACUGACGCUGAGGAACGAAAGCUAGGGGAGCAAACAGG